CCUACGGGAGGCUGCAGUAACGAAUCUUCCGCAAUGCACGAAAGUGUGACGGAGCGACGCCGCGUGUGGGACGAAGCCCUUCGGGGUGUAAACCACUGUCAGGGGUUAGAAAGUUCUGAUCAACCCCAGAGGAAGGCACGGCUAACUCUGUGCCAGCAGCCGCGGUAAGACAGAGGUGCCGAGCGUUAGGCGGAAUCACUGGGCUUAAAGCGUGUGUAGGCGGAGUUCUAAGUACCUUGUGAAAUCCCACGGCUCAACCGUGGAACUGCUUGGUAUACUGGUUCUCUUGAGCCACCUAGGGGCAACCGGAACAAACGGUGGAGCGGUGAAAUGCGUAGAUAUCGUUUGGAACGCCAAUGGUGAAAACAGGUUGCUGGGGGUGUGCUGACGCUGAGACACGAAAGCCAGGGGAGCGAACGGGAUUAGAUACCCCUGUAGUC
rnacentral:rRNA from 1 species